rnacentral:rRNA from 1 species
UACGUAGGGUCCGAGCGUUGUCCGGAUUUAUUGGGCGUAAAGAGCUCGUAGGCGGUUUGUCGCGUCUGCUGUGAAAACUGGGGGCUCAACCCCCAGCCUGCAGUGGGUACGGGCAGACUAGAGUGCGGUAGGGGAGAUUGGAAUUCCUGGUGUAGCGGUGGAAUGCGCAGAUAGCAGGAGGAACACCGAUGGCGAAGGCAGAUCUCUGGGCCACUACUGACGCUGAGAAGCGAAAGCAUGGGGAGCGAACAGG